rnacentral:rRNA from 1 species
UACGUAGGGUGCAAGCGUUAAUCGGAAUUACUGGGCGUAAAGCGUGCGCAGGCGGUUAUAUAAGACAGUUGUGAAAUCCCCGGGCUCAACCCUGGGAACUGCAUCUGUGACUGUAUAGCUAGAGUACGGUAGAGGGGGAUGGAAUUCCGCGUGUAGCAGUGAAAUGCGUAGAUAUGCGGAGGAACACCGAUGGCGAAGGCAAUCCCCUGGACCUGUACUGACGCUCAUGCACGAAAGCGUGGGGAGCAAACAGG